GCCAAAUGAUUCUUAGCAGCAGGUCAGGCACCACGUAUAACCCUGUCGCCAUUAACAAGGAAGCAGGCCAGCAUCCUCGGGAAGGCCUAGCCCAGAGCCAUGACCUCGCCCUGGUGAUAAGACAGCAGCUUUGGCAGAGAACUCCAGCUCACUCUGGCAGGCACCCCAGUUGGCUCUGGGCCUUGAAGAUGCUGUGCCUGGAUACCCCCAGGAAUAUGCUCGCCCCCACAGCAGUGACCCCGUUGCUACCUGAGGCCUGUCCCGCUCCAUGAUGACAGGCUCGAGCCGCUGGACCAGGUCUUCAUAAGACUGCAAGUGCAAGUGGGAAGGGUCCCUCAGGCCCUGCUCCAGGGGGUCCUUGGCUGAACCCUCCACUGCUGGAACUCACAUGCUGGCAACUGAGGACUGGUAGGAGGCACUGUGCCCUUCCAGCCCACAGUAGAUGGAGUGCCCAGAAAGAGCUGUGGGGGCAGGGGCAAUAAAGGCUGCCAAAACUUCCUGGAGCAAGACCUGUCCGCAUGCCUAAGGGCCCAGGAACAAUGAUCCUGGCAGUCUCCCUGCCCUGUGCCUCCCCUGGGUGCUGGGAGGUAGCUGACAAGGGACACCUUAGACCAAUCCCUCAGCCAUGAGGUUUAGAGAUUUCCACCAGGAGACCGAGUCCUCUUUGCACACAACCAGCAAAA